rnacentral:rRNA from 1 species
UACAGAGGGUGCGAGCGUUUAAUCGGAAUUACUGGGCGUAAAGCGUGCGUAGACGGUCAAGUAAGUCGGGUGUGAAAGCCCCGGGCUCAACCUGGGAAUUGCAUUCGAGACUGCGUGGCUAGGGUGCGGAAGAGGGAAGCGGAAUUUCCGGUGUAGCGGUGAAAUGCGUAGAUAUCGGAAGGAACACCAGUGGCGAAAGCGGCUUCCUGGUCCAGCACCGACGUUCAGGCACGAAAGCGUGGGGAGCAAACAGG